AGUAGGCUUAAUGAGUAGGUUUAAUGAGUAGGUUUAAUGAGUAGGUUUAAUGAGUAGGCUUAAUGAGUAGUUUUAAUGAGUAGUUUUAAUGAGUAGGUUUAAUGAGUAUGUUUAAUGAGUAGGCUUAAUGAGUAGGCUUAAUGAGUAGGUUUAAUGAGUAGGUUUAAUGAGUAGGUUUAAUGAGUAGGCUUAAUGAGUAGGUUUAAUGAGUAGGUUUAAUGAGUAGGCUUAAUGAGUAGGCUUAAUGAGUAGGCUUAAUGAGUAGGUUUAAUGAGUAGGUUUAAUGAGUAGGUUUAAUGAGUAGGCUUAAUGAGUAGGUUUAAUGAGUAGGCUUAAUGAGUAGGUUUAAUGAGUAGGUUUAAUGAGUAGGUUUAAUGAGUAGGUUUAAUGAGUAGGCUUAAUGAGUAGGUUUAAUGAGUAGGUUUAAUGAGUAGGCUUAAUGAGUAGGUUUAAUGAGUAGGUUUAAUGAGUAGGUUUAAUGAGUAGGUUUAAUGAGUAGGCUUAAUGAGUAGGUUUAAUGAGUAGGCUUAAUGAGUAGGUUUAAUGAGUAGGCUUAAUGAGUAGGUUUAAUGAGUAGGUUUAAUGAGUAGGUUUAAUGAGUAGGUUUAAUGAGUAGGUUUAAUGAGUAGGCUUAAUGAGUAGGUUUAAUGAGUAGGCUUAAUGAGUAGGUUUAAUGAGUAGGUUUAAUGAGUAGGUUUAAUGAGUAGGUUUAAUGAGUAGGUUUAAUGAGUAGGUUUAAUGAGUAGGUUUAAUGAGUAGGUUUAAUGAGUAGGCUUAAUGAGUAGGCUUAAUGAGUAGGUUUAAUGAGUAGGUUUAAUGAGUAGGCUUAAUGAGUAGGUUUAAUGAGUAGGUUUAAUGAGUAGGUUUAAUGAGUAGGCUUAAUGAGUAGGUUUAAUGAGUAGGUUUAAUGAGUAGGUUUAAUGAGUAGGCUUAAUGAGUAGGUUUAAUGAGUAGGCUUAAUGAGUAGGUUUAAUGAGUAGGUUUAAUGAGUAGGCUUAAUGAGUAGGUUUAAUGAGUAGGUUUAAUGAGUAGGCUUAAUGAGUAGGUUUAAUGAGUAGGUUUAAUGAGUAGGUUUAAUGAGUAGGCUUAAUGAGUAGGUUUAAUGAGUAGGCUUAAUGAGUAGGCUUAAUGAGUAGGUUUGCUAGAAUGCAGGAACAGAGGAACAUAGGAAGAAACCUAGAAAGGAACCAGACUCUGAGGGGUGGCCAGUCCUCUUCUGUUUGUACCAGGUGACAUAUGACUUCAUAUCAGUAGGCUGUACAAUACAGGGGAGUAAAACUAUUCUAAAAGUGGGUAACAGUCUGGGUUGGGGUCAAUUCCUUUUCAAUAACAGUCCAUUCAGAAAGUAAACCUAAUUCCAAAUUCCACAUGCUGCUAAUUGAAAAGCAUUGAAGAGAACUGGAAUUUCAGUG